rnacentral:rRNA from 1 species
GAUGAACGCUGGCGGCGUGCCUAAUACAUGCAAGUCGAGCGAACAGACGAGAGUGCUUGCACUCUCUGACGUUAGCGGCGGACGGGUGAGUAACACGUGGGUAACCUACCUAUAAGACUGGGAUAACUUCGGGAAACCGGAGCUAAUACCGGAUAAUAUUUAGCUUCGCAUGAAGCAAUAGUGAAAGACGGUUCUGCUGUCACUUAUAGAUGGACCCGCGGUGUAUUAGCUAGUUGGUGAGGUGACGGCUCACCAAGGCAACGAUACAUAGCCGACCUGAGAGGGUGAUCGGCCACACUGGGACUGAGACACGGCCCAGACUCCUACGGGAGGCAGCAGUAGGGAAUCUUCCGCAAUGGACGAAAGUCUGACGGAGCAAUGCCGCGUGAGUGAAGAAGGUUUUCGGAUCGUAAAACUCUGUUGUAAGGGAAGAACAAGUACGUUAGUAACUGAACGUACCUUGACGGUACCUUACCAGAAAGCCACGGCUAACUACGU